rnacentral:rRNA from 1 species
GAUGAACGCUGGCGGCGUGCCUAACACAUGCAAGUCGAACGGAGUCGUUUUGGCAAUCUCUUCGGAGAUGGAAUUCUCGACUUAGUGGCGGACGGGUGAGUAACGCGUGAGCAAUCUGCCUUUAAGAGGGGGAUAACAGUCGGAAACGGCUGCUAAUACCGCAUAAAGCAUUAAAUUCGCAUGUUUUUGAUGCCAAAGGAGCAAUCCGCUUUUAGAUGAGCUCGCGUCUGAUUAGCUAGUUGGCGGGGUAACGGCCCACCAAGGCGACGAUCAGUAGCCGGACUGAGAGGUUGAACGGCCACAGUGGGACUGAGACACGGCCCAGACUCCUACGGGAGGCAGCAGGGGGGAAUAUUGCGCAAUGGGGGAAACCCUGACGCAGCAACGCCGCGUGAUUGAAGAAGGCCUUCGGGUUGUAAAGAUCUUUAAUCAGGGACGAAACAAAUGACGGUACCUGAAGAAUAAGCUCCGGCUAACUACGUG